rnacentral:piRNA from 1 species
UUCCACUCGCCUUCAUCGAUACUCCACGCC